AGCUCCAAUAGCGUAUAUUAAAGUUGUUGCAGUUAAAAAGCUCGUAGUCGGAUUUCGGGUCGGGCCGAGCGGUCUGCCGAUGGGUAUGCACUGUUUGGCGCGGCCUUCUUUCCGGAGACCGCGGCUACUCUUAACUGAGCGGGCGUGGGAGACGGAUCGUUUACUUUGAAAAAAUCAGAGUGUUUCAAGCAGGCAGCUCGCUCUUGCAUGGAUUAGCAUGGGCCUCACCCACCCCUGCGGAUAAUUGAAUAGGACUCUGGUGCUAUUUUGUUGGUUUCGAACACCGGAGUAAUGAUUAACAGGGACAGUCAGGGGCACUCGUAUUCCGUCGAGAGAGGUGAAAUUCUCAGACCAAUGGAAGACGAACCACUGCGAAAGCAUUUGCCAGGGAUGUUUUCA
rnacentral:rRNA from 1 species